UUACCUAUUUGAGUUAUUUCAUUAUAAAAUUUUAUCAUAUUUUAUUAUAUUUACUAUUACUAUAUCAUUUAAAUAAUUAUAUCGAAACGAGUGCGUUCAACUGCCAAUCGUUACACAAAUAAAAGGUAACACAAAAUCAAGUCUAUAUUAUUGAAGGUGAGACGUUUUACGUCGGGACUUUUUUUCCGCAAUUUCAUAUACUCGUGUCCUAUAAUUAUUAUUCAAGUAUGAAGUAAUUCUCAUACGACAAACAACUAACAAGUAUGUAAUGGUGGAGUAGUUGAAAACUAUGCACACAUUGCACACCUAUUUCGUGCUCGUCGAAAAUCAUCUGUUAGUGUAUACUGUUGUCUGUAUGCCUGUUACUGUCUACCGAGUGUUAGUGUAAGUGUAUGUCUGUAGUCUGUACGUAAUCUAUAAAUUAUAAUAAUGUUCUUUAAAACACGAUAACAACCAAAUAUCUACGUGCCGUCGGCAUUAUUUACACCACGGUAAAUAUGCGGUAUAGUAAUUAUAUAAUCUUUGACUAUUUUGUGGUACAGACAGUACAGCGUUGUAUUGCGGUGUCGUCGUGUCCAAACGUCGUCGUUGGGGGAAAUGUGACGUUCCCAGCGUAGACAACAUUAUAUUAAUUAGGGCACUAUAAACAAUACUUUAAAUAACAAUAAUAUUAUAAAUAAUAAUAAUAAUAUUAUAAUAUUCGGGAUAAUAUUUAGUGCCUUAAUAUUAAUAAUAAACCUAAUGUCGGUUGUGUACAAGUGACGUUUGGGACAAACCAUCGAUGACCCAUCGCCGCCGGUGGGUGGUAACCGGACGCGCCGACGCACUAAUACACGCUCAUACUAUCUUUUUGUGGUAACCACACACUGCCUGCACGACUACACGUUCGCCAUUCACGAUACUAACGCCGACAAGGUUUUUUUUCCGUCAUCUUGGUGAAAUCGUCCUGCAUCACGGCACUAUACUCAGGUUUUUAAAACAAUCAUCUACUGUUUUUCUUUCUCUUGCCCGCCAACCAUCUAAAUCACACAACGUUCCGAAGAAUACGUUUCACGACAUUUUUUAUCCAACUACGGCAACAGCGAAAAACCGACAAUCGGCUCCACACCGCGGGAUAGAGAAAAUUUUUCGUCGACGACGUUACAGGCGUUUACCGCUUGUGACUUCUCAAUUCAUCCGCUCAACAUUUGCCUAGUCCACUCCAAAACCACUACCGAAGGUAUCGCCAUUUGAUGAUUAUUUCAUUCAACCAAUCUUGGAUUUAUUUCAAUUUGUUUCAUUAGUUAAAUUAAUUUACUUGAUGAUAAAUGUCGACAUAGCCACAAUGCUGUGUGCAUUCAAUAUCAACUCAAGAUAAAUGUCUGGUAACUGUAGUUUUCAUUUAUUUAUUUCAAAAUUAUUUACAUACUACUUACUUCUAAUAGAGAGUUUCAUAGCUAUACAUGUUUUUAAUUGAGGUUACUAAAGAUACAUACCUACAAUUAUGUUUUUAAAAUUUCAUUUUGACAUCCAGUAAAUAUUGAUUAAAACAAAAUUAUUAAAUAAUACACUCACAAACUUUAUCUGCCAACUUAGUAUAUUAUAAAUGUAUAAUAUAAAAUUAUUAAUUUUAUGGUAUUUUAAAUAGUUAUUAAUUUAUUUUUAUUUUUAUUAAGUUAUUUUACGUUUUAUACAUUUAUUUUCAUUUAAUUCAGAUUCAACUUGAAUUUCUAAUGAACUUAAACUUGUUCGAGUAUUUAAAUUGUGCAUAUUUUCAUUAGAUGAUACUAACUUACUGUGUACCUACUUGAAUUAACUUAAAUACAUAUUUAAUAGUGAGGAUGUUUUUCAAAAUGGCAUUGAAUCAAUUUAUGAAUGGGGUUGUUAUUAAUUUUGAUCUAUCACAUUCAUAUAUUAACAUAGUAGAUAUUUUUAAAAAGCAGAAAAUGUAUUUACUUAUAAAUUUGAUAUCUUGAUCAUUUCACUUCAAACAGAAAAACAUAAUACACAAAAUUGGACUUCUGAACAAAAAAUUUUUAUGUCGUAUAUUUUGUAAGAUAAUACAUGUGGAAAUGGAGUCUACAAGUAUAAUGAAACAUUUUCAUAUCUUGCUUUUAAAAUAAUCAAAUAGGUCUAGCUCAUUCACAGUUGAUAGUAUAGUAUAUAAAUAUUAUUUUAUAUUUUUAUGUGCUAAAAUUUUUAAAUUAUAAAUUCUGACUUUAUAACACAAAUUAACAUCAAAUUAUAUUCUACUUAUUAUUUAUUUAUUAAAUUAAAUAAGCUAUAAUUUUUAAUAAAAUACAACUAUUAUUAUUAAGUUUUAAAGAGCUACAAAAAUAAAUUAAAUUUAUAUAGUCACUGAUUUAUAGUAGAGCCCAGAUUAAUUUUUAAAACUUUUUAUUUUUAUUUUUUUUUUAAGUGUUAUUUGUUUAUUUUUAAAUUAAAAAAUCUGGUUGUCUGGAAAGUUGGUUUCUGAAAGAUAAUUUUAUGUGAUAAUUAUCACAUUGUGGUUGUUAUAGAAACUACAUUAAUGGCCGCUCACGAACGGAGAAUAAUUUUGAUGUAUAUGAACAUAGUCAAACGCGCAGAACGUGACAAUUUUUCCUGCAUGCAACCGCCGUUAUCAUAUCAAAAAUAUUAACAAAUUAAAUUAAACAUUAGGAACAAUGAAAAAUAAGUUUAAAUAGUUCACAAUAUUUUAAUUUUUUUGUUUUACUUAUUAAUCUUGAAGUAUAUAUAAAAAAAUUUGAUCUUAAUUAUUUUAGUACACGCUUAUUUGUUGAUUAUCACUAGUUAAGCAUUUACUCAUUUUAUUACUAUAAAUGAACACUAUUAAUCUUGACAAAAAAAUAGAUAGACAAUCCAUGAAACAAGUACUAUAUUUUUAUUAAAUUAGUAUGUUAUCUUACUGGAAUUGUUCUUAGGUGAGAGUACAUAGUUAAUAAGAUUGCACAAGUUAAGUAAAAGCUUUUUAAAAUAAAAUUCACUUACUGACCAGCAUAGUAUGGCCCAACUAAGGAAAAGUUCCUUAAAAUAUAUACGUGACUCUAAAUGGCUAAAAAACUUGGAACAACUUAUAGAGAAGAAAAAAAGAUCAAAGAAACUUAUACUUUUUAAAUUUGGUAUUGCCGAAGGAUGUUGAUUAAAUUGUACACAAUAACAAACCUUGUAUGUUUAGUUUAUUAUAAAUUGCACAACUUGUCAAAUGUCACAUGACAACCAAGUAUUAAUUGUAGAAGAAUUAAAUAGAACAACAGAAAACUAUCUUUGCAUAAUGUUAAUGUUUGAAGGAACCAAAUGAUAAAGCACUUAUUGCGCCUUAAUGAAAAUAAUCAAGGAUGGAUUCCAUGAAUCAAACCAUGAUAGACAUGAAUAAAGAUAGAUACAAGAAAUUCAAGUAAAAGUUAAAAUAAGGGAAGCAUGGAGAACUGUAAGCAUACCAAUCAAACAAUUGAAGACAAAACAAAACUUUAAAAUUACAUAGUUUAAAUCAAAUAUGCUGCCAAAAACCAGUAAUGUGCUAUGGUCCUAAAACUUUAAAGAAAAAUGUGAAAUAACAAAUUUUUGAAAUACAGAAAAUAUAGUGAAGUACUUAAAUAGCAGGUUCUGAUGGUUAUGAUAUGUUGUAAGAAUAAAUAAGAAAAAAAUACCUAAACACAUAUUGCUUACAAGAGUGGAAGGGUUACCUAAGAAAUAGAUGGCUCAAUGUGUAAAGAAGGAUUAUUGAAAUGCUACUAAAUGAUUGAGUUGAAUGGAAGAAUUAUUUUGGAAGCUAAUGAUAUUUGUGGUAUGUAGUGUCUAAGAGUAGUAGCAUUAUUUUCUACGGUUAAAAAUUAUUUAUUUAAUAAUAAUUAUGUAGUCAAUUUUUUUUUAGCAAAUUUUGUAUUGCAGAAGAGGCUGUUGGUCAAAAGAAAUUCUUCCAUCAACAUUUUGAUAUAACCAAAUAAUUAAAUUGUAAUCAUUUAUUAUACUAUAUCUAUAGUAUAUUAUUCUGUACAUAUGUUUUUAUUUUUACAAUAUAUUUUAACUGAAAAGUUUGACUCUAAAUUAUUUAGCUUUACUUCAGUUUUUCUAUAAGUUUAUACCAUGAAUAUUAGAGAUAAGGAGACCAAAUCAGUAAUCAAUAUAUGUAUCAUGUUUCACUUAUUAUUAUUCAUUAGAAUCGUACCCAGUCGUAGUCUUAAAAGAAUAUUGUGAAUUUUAAACUUUUUUCAUAGUAAACAUCUUCUGAACUUAAAUUGUAUACUUAGGUGUACUUGAAAAUAACCAGGUAAUAAAUAAUGAAUCAUAAAUCACAUUUUAUAUUUCAUUCAAAUUCAAAAAAAUCAAUAAGAACGAACAUUUUUUAGUAAAGAACGUAUAAUAUGUGGUAAAAUGUAGGCCUCUUAUCAAACGACUCUCUUCUGGUGGCAGAAUAACCAUGCGACUUUAGUCAAGCCACUUUAUAAACAGGCGGCUAUAGCAGUUAAGUCUUCUUAUCUCUAAUCUUUAUAGCUUACACUUAUAAUUUUUUUUUUUAUAAGUGAUAUAGAUAAUUAUGUAAUAGUAAAUCUGUUAUAUGAAUUGUAUAUUAUUAGGAGGUUUAAAAGAUAGAAUUGCGAUAGAUAUUGAGUUAUUCUUAAGAAAAAAUAACAAUUUCUUAUUUUUUCUUCAGCACUUUAUAUAAUAUAUGAGAUAUGAGAUAAUUAGUAAUAAUAAACUAAGGUAAGUCUAAAAUGUAUGGAUUCGUAGUUAAAUACAUAAUACUUACAUUUUAUAUCUAAAGUAUUUAUAGAAUAAUUUGAGUACAAUAAUUUUUAUCUUUUAAUUAUUGUUUCAAUUUGUUUCAUAAAACAUUAUAGUUGUUUAUAGAACAACAAACUUAUCCGAUAAUGUAUAAGUAUAAUCUUGUAUAAAUAUAUACAGUAGUCUUGGUGUCCAAUAUGAAAGAAAUAGUGGUAUUAUCUAAUUAUUAGCAUUAAUAACAAAAAUUGAAUACAUAUAUUUAAUAAGAAAAAAUAACUAAAUUAAGUUAUUGUUGGCUAUAUUUAAAUUUAAAUUUAAUUUACUAAUAUUAAUAUUUGAUUUUGCAGCCAUAAAUUAGUUUAUGAUUUUUAUAUUAAAUUGUUAAGACAACAAUAAAAAUAAUAUUUUUCAUAACAUUUAAUGUGUUCUGGAACACACCAAAAAACCUUAUCUAACCUACAUUCACUAUUUAGUCUUUUUAGUAAAGAAACGACUAUAUAAUGUCUAAUAAUAAUAAUUUAGCGUAAGCUAAACCGCAAUACCAUGUAAUUUUCAUAACUCAACCCGAGUUGAAAAAUCCUUUUAAAUCCAUACUAAGACUAGUUAUUGAAUUAAGUGUAAUUUUUUUAUUACUUGGUAACAUAAGAUUAAUUUGCAUUAUAAUUUAAUUAAGUAUAAUUUUUUUACAAUUAUAAUACAGCAUAUUAUUAACUAUCAAGAUCAUAGACCCAAAAUACUGAACUAACUACUUUUGUAUAAAGUUUAUUAUUUAAGUUUAAAUAAAGACUUUUUUUAACUAUGUAUUAAAAUAACCUAGAUCCUUGUGCAACUAAGUCACUACAAUUACCCAAUUACUUAAUCACAUAGGUUUAAAAUAAAAAUAUUCAUAAAGAUCUUUUGUGUUCUAAGUUCUAAUAGCAGAAAUUGAUAAGUUAUACUUAAAUCUUAAUUUUGAAAAUGGUUAUUAAAUUUUUAGAACCAUAAUGAGUUUUAAAAUUAAAAACCCAAGGUUUAUCAGAUAUUAUUUUAAAAUUUGGUAAUAUGUAUAUUUACUAUAAAAUCUAGCAUAAAUAUUUAAUGGUGUCUUUAGAACAUUUAAUUUGCUAAGUUAUGUGUUUGAAUUAUAACAUUUCAGAUUUGGGUGUAGCAUCUUUUUAAUACCUAGACUUAGAGAGCCUAUAUAAUAAGAGAGUAACCAACUGGGUGAUGGCAGCCAUUUUUCGUUCAAAUAUUACUAGUAUAUUCACAGAAUUCUGGGGUAUAGUAUCUAUGAUUUGAACAUAGAGUUCUUACUUUAUGGAUUUAAAUAUUUUGGAUGAAAAAUGGUGCCCAUGAUCAGUAAUAACAGCCAACCAAUAGAAAACGUUCAGCUAGUUUGUCACUUUCUUAUUAUAUAGGCUUUCUAACUAGACUCUUUUCACGGUACAAGUAAAAAUCCCUAGUUCAUAAAUUUAAUUUCCAUAUUUUAAAUUUUACCAAGGCUAUAUUUAAGAAUUCAGUGUUUUUCUUCUAUGUAGAACACCAUAUUUUGAGAUAAUAAACUGUUUUUUACUUUUUUGAUUAAUAAUUUAUUUCAAUAUGUUAAAACAAGUUUACAUUGUUGAUAUCCAUAUUUUAUGACUUAUGUGCGUACCUAUUAAUCGUAUAAGAUUCUGAACAGAGUUUGUACUGAUUUUACAAUGAUUUGUUUUUUUGUUUAUGAAAUACUUGUAAUCUAUAGCUAAAUGAGAAAAUACAUCAUAUAUAGAAUUUAUGUUUUGGUAUCCAUGCCUUAUAACUCGCAAGUCCGUUCAUAAUACAUUAAUUAUAUACUUGAAAUGUGAUUUAACUAAAUCAAAGCCUAAUCGGCAUUAUUCUGCAGGUAGGUGAAAUCACUAAAACUUAUUUUUCAUGUAGGAUAGAAACUUUGUUACAAGAAAAAUAUUAAAUUAUCAUAGAAAACCUACACAUUUUAUAUUAAAUAAUAUGCGGAAUAAUUAGUUUCAUGGUAUUGUGGUUUAGGUAACUGUCGGUACUGAGUAACUAUUCAAAACAAAAAAUGAAGAAAUACUUAGCACUUAAUGUUUUUAGGAUGCUUACAAUAUUGAGUAUUACUUAACAUUUUCGUCUUAUGGAUCGAUAUAUCAUUGAUGUAAUAUUAUCUAAUUCAUGGAAGAAAAAGUUUAAUAAAUUAUGUUAUUUUUUUGCCAUCUCUAGUGGUAAUUUAUUAAUUGAUAUAAGGUGUAAAUAAAUUAAAUUGGUUAUUUGUAUAGGUGGGACUAGAUGAGUAUCAUAAACUAAAGUAUAACCAUAUAUUAAUAUAUAUACUAAACUUAUUAUACAUAUCUGUGAGUAAAACAGACUAAUAUUGGACAGUUAGGCAAUCACUGAUGAUCAGAAUUGUUUACAGCAGCGGUGAACCCUAAUGCUAAGUGCAGCUCCAGCCCAACCAAAAAAAUUUGUUCUUUUUAUAUAUUUUAUAUUAAAUUAUAAAUUAUUAUAAUUAAGAGUAUAUUUUCACAAAUAUAGUAUUACAAUGAUGAUUGUCUUUAUCCAAAUUUUUUUGCAAUAAUGUUAUGUGACUUAUAAAUUUAUAUUUAUCAAUAAUACGUGACUAAGUUUUGGGGCAAUCACUGGAAACCGAUUCCUUAUUUCGUUGAAAACUAUUUCAAGAUUUUACAUUAUAAGUACUUCCUAGCGUUUACGUCGAAUCGACUUAAAAUGGUAACUACGAUCAUAAUAAUAAUUAAUACCGUCUGUGGCAUGAAAAGUUGCGUUUAUAGUCAGUCACUGCAUUAUAGUAGUGGUGAUGCAUUCAACAGACAUAUUUUUGUUGAAAUUAUGAAUCAAUGCAUGAUAUAAAAUAAUACAGUAAAAUCAAUAAGGUCCAGAAUUUGUGCAAGUCUGUGCACACGUAACUUCCUUACCCAUAAGGUCAUUAAGUUAUUAUUAUAUGCUAUGUACGUACCUUCUAUCUUUGUCACCCGAAGGAUUUGAUCAUUCUAUUCUAAUUGUCAAAAGUUUCGAUCAUAUCUUGUUUACACAAUAAGUUGAUAGGCAACAAUAUUAUAUUAUUGCAUAAUCCUCUGCGUAAUCACAAUAAAAAAAUGUAAAAUAACUUAACAUAAACCUAGUAUAAUUUUUGUAAUGUCUUAUCUUGCAGUUCCUUUAUUAAUUAUUUUUUGAUAUUUAUAUUUAAAAGAAUUGUCGGUUGAAUUUAUUAAUUGUACUAACAUUAAAUAUUAUGUACUAUAAAGUAUGUUUCUAAUCUAAGCUAUCUAUGGAUCACAGAUUAAGUAUAUAACUUGACUAUUUCAACAAUAAAAUAAUAAUACAUACAAGGCUGGUUACGUGAGAUAAUGUUUGUUAAUAAUACCUAAAAAUAAUAAUUUGUUAUAAAUACAACAGUGUAUGUUAAAAUAUCUUAAAGUAAUAAAUUUCAUUAAAAUUAACUUAGUGCAGUACUUAUAAUAUUUUUAAAAUAAUAUGCUAUCCAGAAGUAACUGUUAUUUGAAUUGGUUAUCAUGUUAUUGAUUAUAGUAAUUAUUUGUAAAAUUAUAUUAAUUCAAUGUUUAAUACUGACGUAAUAUUUUGUAUUAACAUCAUUUGAUUAAUGUGAAAAAAUUUUCAAAAUAUUAGUUCAUAACUCAACACGUCUUAUGUUUAACAAAACAAAGUCAUCUAAUAGAACAAAAGAAAUUGAUUAAAUUAUUGAAAAACAAUUAGCUUUGUACUUAAGAUUCAGACAUCAAAAACCAUGUUGAUUUAAAUUCAAAGUGUAAGAGAGAACCAACUCAAUUUCUUACAAUCAACAUAGAAAAACCAUUACGAAUAAAAUUAUAAUUAAUGUUAAAUAAUAAGAAGAUUAAUACAACUAUAACUAAAAGAAGUAUUAAUGGGUAUUAGAAAUAUAGAUAAAUACAAAUGACGAAAACAAAUUUAAAAUGGAAUAACAGUUAACAAGAAGAAACAAUGGUUGUAAAAAUCUAACUCAUAUUUAAAAACUGAAUCACACUAUUCGUGAUAAUUCAAACCAAAAAAAAAAAUUAUUGUCUGGUAUCAAUUAUUAAAUAAAAAAUCAAAGGAAACUUAAAUAAAAGAAACCUUUAAUUCAAUAAUGUACAAAAUUACAAAAUUGAUUUUUUCAUUAUAAUUAUAUAGAAUGUCUGGAAAAAAUCCUAAAGAA